GACGAACGCUGGCGGCGUGCUUAACACAUGCAAGUCGAACGGAAAGGCCCUGCUUUUGUGGGGUGCUCGAGUGGCGAACGGGUGAGUAACACGUGAGUAACCUGCCCUUGACUUUGGGAUAACUUCAGGAAACUGGGGCUAAUACCGGAUAGGAGCUCCUGCUGCAUGGUGGGGGUUGGAAAGUUUCGGCGGUUGGGGAUGGACUCGCGGCUUAUCAGCUUGUUGGUGGGGUAGUGGCUUACCAAGGCUUUGACGGGUAGCCGGCCUGAGAGGGUGACCGGCCACAUUGGGACUGAGAUGCGGCCCAGACUCCUACGGGAGGCAGCAGUGGGGUAUAUUGCACAAUGGGCGGAAGCCUGAUGCAGCAACGCCGCGUGCGGGAUGACGGCCUUCGGGUUGUAAACCGCUUUCGCCUGUGACGAAGCGUGAGUGACGGUAAUGGGUAAAGAAGCACCGGCUAACUACGUG
rnacentral:rRNA from 1 species